UGCUUAUUGAAAAUGUGCUUCAUUCAGUCGUAAUCCGCUCUUAAACUAAUACUUUUGUGAUCAAUUGAUGCAAUAUCAAUCACUUGUGUACAGUAAUGCUUCUAAUAGCAAUGAACAACAUGACAUGGAGAUCAAUUCUGCUCGUGUUGCAGUAGAGGAAGAUGUGGCAAAGAACAGCAAGGAUCUCUUUGAGCAGUUUGAUGGAAGUUGGGACAGACGGGUCAAAGCUCCAACUCCAAUGAUGUCAAGGUGGGAAACAAAAAACAUGCUCCUAUGAAGAAGCAGACUCC